rnacentral:rRNA from 1 species
UGCAGAAUCCCGCGAACCAUCGAGUCUUUGAACGCAAGUUGCGCCUGAAGCCAUCAGGCUGAGGGCACGUCUGCCUGGGCGUCAAACACCGAUGCCCCCCCAAAUCCCCUCGUCACUCUCCCCUGAGUGCCCGGGGAGUGUGGGGGUCGGAUGAUGGCCUCCCGUGUCUUGGCUCGCGGUUGGCCCAAAGUCGAGUCCUCGGUCACGGUUACCGUGGUGACAGGUGGUUGUCGGUCGCUCGGUACCCCGUCACGUGCGCCGGACACGAAUCGAGACUCUCUUGAUUACCCCAACGCAUCCCCGUUUGGGUGCCUCUGAUGUGACCCCAGGUCAGGCGGGGCUACCCGCUGAGUUUAAGCAUAUCAAUAAGCGGAGGAAAAGAAACUUACGAGGAUUCCCCUAGUAACGGCGAGCGAACCGGGAAAAGCCCAGGUUGAGAAUCGAUCGCCCCCGGUGUUCGA